rnacentral:rRNA from 1 species
UACGUAGGGUCCGAGCGUUGUCCGGAGUUACUGGGCGUAAAGGGUGCGUAGGUGGCGCCGUAAGUCGGGUGUGAAAUUUCGGAGCUUAACUCCGAAACUGCAUUCGAUACUGCGGUGCUUGAGGACUGGAGAGGAGACUGGAAUUCAUGGUGUAGCAGUGAAAUGCGUAGAGAUCAUGAGGAAGACCAGUGGCGAAGGCGGGUCUCUGGACAGUUCCUGACACUGAGGCACGAAGGCCAGGGGAGCAAACGGG